rnacentral:lncRNA from 1 species
UUUCUUUCUUUCUUUCUUUCUUUCUUUCUUUCUUUCUUUCUUUCUUUCUUUCUUUCUUUUUUUUCUCCUUUUGCUAGUGAAGGAGAAUUGGAUUGGUUAUUUUCAGAACAGGCAGCCUAAAUUGAUGCACAAAUCAGUAGCAUCCUUUUUGGAGUGGCCAUCACAUGAAUUCUUUGGAGAUCUCUGAAGAAAACAGAAAGAAACUGAAAUGGCAUGAAUGAAUUAAUCGUGCCAGAUUCUCCAACACUUCCUCAGGAGACCCUAUUGCUCUGAUCAAGAAGUUCCAUCAGCACCGAAGAAAACAGCAGUCCCGGAUAACCACCAUCAACUUUCCGUUUCCAUGAAUUUGAUUACUUUGGAUACCUCAUGCAGAAGAGCCCCAUCCCAUGGCCACCAUCACAACAGGCCCAUUGGAGGUACUAGCGCGGUACCACUGAUAUUCCCACAAGGCUCAAGUGCUCCUCAUUCAGUUUUGGCUUCUGGCCCUGUGGCUGGAUGGGAGAAGAUCUGUGACACUCCCUGGAGACCUAUUCCCCAUUGUCUUGGUGAUUAACAUUCAGCUCCUUGUUACUUAUGCAAAUUUCUGUAGCAGGUUUGUAUUUCUCACCAGAAAAUGGGUAUUUCUUUUCUGUCGCAUCAUCAGGCUGCAAUUUUUCUAAACUUUUAUGCUCUGCUUACUCCUGAAUGCUUUGCUGCUUUAAAAUUUCUGUUGCCAGAUACCCUAAAUCAUCUCGUUCAGGUUCAAAGUUCCAUGGAUCUCUAGGGAAGGGGAGAAAUGCUGCCAGUCUCUUUGCUAAGCAUAACAAGAGUCACCUUUGUUCCUGUUCCCAACAAGUUCCUCAUCUC